UCUUCGACCGAGCUGACGGCAGCAUGCCCACCUGUACACCGACACAGGGGACGUACUUUACGUUUUCGUGUAUGUCAACCAGUAGUCUUCGGGUGCAUCGAUAUCACAGCUCGCGCUGUGCGGGCCCCGUCAAUCUUGAGUUUAGCUUGCGGCCGUACUCCCCAGGCGGGGGCGCUAAUGCGUAGCUACGGCACAGAUCCCGUGGAAGGAACCCACACCUAGCGCCCACCGUUACGGCGUGGACUACCAGGGUAUCUAAUCCUGUUGCUACCCACGCUUUCGUUCCUCAGCGUCAGUUGUUUCCCAGAGACCCGCCUUCGCCACCGGUGUUCCUCCUGAUAUCUGCGCAUUUCACCGCUACACCAGGAAUUCCAGUCUCCCCUGAAACACUCAAGUCUGCCCGUAUCGCCUGCAAGCCCGAAGUUGAGCCCCGGGUUUUCACAAACGACGCGACAAACCGCCUACGAACUCUUUACGCCCAGUAAUUCCGGACAACGCUCGCACCCUACGUAUUACCGCGGCUGCUGGCACGUAGUUAGCCGGUGCUUCUUCUGCAGGUACCGUCACUCACGCUUCGUCCCUGCUGAAAGAGGUUUACAACCCGAAGGCCUUCAUCCCUCACGCGGCGUCGCUGCAUCAGGCUUCCGCCCAUUGUGCAAUAUUCCCCACUGCUGCCUCCCGUAGGAGUCUGGGCCGUGUCUCAGUCCCAGUGUGGCCGGUCACCCUCUCAGGUCGGCUACCCGUCGUCGCCUUGGUAGGCCAUUACCCCACCAACAAGCUGAUAGGCCGCGGGCCCAUCCUGCACCGAUAAAUCUUUCCACCACAACACAUGCAUGCUGUAGUCAUAUCCGGUAUUAGACCCAGUUUCCCAAGCUUAUCCCAGAGUGCAGGGCAGAUCACCCACGUGUUACUCACCCGUUCGCCGCUCGUGUACCCCGAAAGGCCUUACCGCUCGUAGCCCAAGUCUAAACCCGCGCCUCAAUCCCCA
rnacentral:rRNA from 1 species